GAUGAAGAACGCAGCGAAAUGCGAUACGUAAUGUGAAUUGCGGAUUUCAGUGAAUCAUCGAAUCUUUGAACGCACAUUGCGCCCGCUAGUAUUCUGGCGGGCAUGCCUGUUCGAGCGUCAUUUCAACCAUCAAGCCCUAGGCUUGCGUUGGAGCCCUGCGGCUGCCGCAGGCUCCCAAAUCCAGUGGCGGGCUCGUCGUCGUACCGAGUGCAGUAAACAUCCUCGCUCAGGGAACGUGACGGGUUCUUGCCGUGAAACCCCCCACAUAUCAAGGUUGACCUCGGAUCAGGUAGGAAUACCCGCUGAACUUAAGCAUAUCAAUAAGCGGAGGA
rnacentral:misc_RNA from 1 species